rnacentral:lncRNA from 1 species
GCCGGUCCUAUUCUUUAUUAGGAGCGCUUCUCUUCUGUGACACCGUUUCGCGCAAGUAGAAAGACAAGCCACACGCUCCACAGUCCACACAAAAUUAAAAGCACCUUUUGCCCUUUGGAAACCUAAAAGGCUAAUUAAGAAAUGGCUCUGUGGUAAUGGUACACCACACACUGAAUUUUCAUGUACUACCUUAACAAGUUAGCGAGCUUAGUAAACACAGUUAUGUCAGCGUCAUGACAGGGCGACACGUGCGUAUAAACCAGCUGAUGAUUCAGUCACAUUGAUAUAUACGGAGUAGGUAUUAUUUGAGGGUGUAAACUGUGAAGGAAUCAUGCGACAUGCAUGGCAAUUUGUGGUAAGUAGCCGAUGUAUUUGCUGGUCCCAUUUCCAGCAGCGAACUGAUGCAACUUGUGUUUUCUUUUUUCUCUUUUCGCCCCUAUAUCCCUUGAUUAGGCCUUGUUU